CCUGGGGUCCUGUUUCUGGGAGACUGGUGACCCUGGACCAGUGAAAGGGAGAAGAGGCGAAGAAGGCCAGGAGACCUCCUCACUGUGAGGCGCAUUCGCCCUUGUCCCGCAGACUGCAGGUGUUUUUCUCGGGUGCCUUCAUCUAAUGUGUUAAACAUUUAUUGAGCACCUACUUUGGCAGACCCUUUGUGCAGGACCAGGGCGGUCUCCAUUAAUGGGGGAACCAGUGGCUUGAGAUUGCUUUUCCUGCAGUGAUUGCAUCCUUCUCUUUGAACAGAUAAGGCGAGUGCACUACACUUUUCGGCAGUUUGGGGAAGGAGAGUUGCUGCUGGAUCAGGGUGAUGAUAAAACUUCACUGAGAAGCCUGAAAGAAUAAGAGCUGGAGUCAGAAGUUCACCUGGAGAGAAAGGUGAAUGAAUACAAAGGAAUAAGUGGGAAAAAAAUUAUAUAUGUGUGUAUACAUGUGUAUACAUAUAUAUGUAUACACAUAUAUAUACGUGUAUAUGUACACACACACACACACACACACACGCACAUACACACCCUGCACACCCUGUUGGGGGUUAAAACCUGAAUGUAUCAUUCAUAGAGCCGAAACGAUGGGUGGAAGAGUAGUUGAAGCUCCUCUGGAAAUCAUUUUUAACGCUUAACCUCAAAAUUUUGCUUUUUUUCGUGAGUACUUGAAAAAUGUUAAAGAUGGGGGGAGAGGGGAGGCGGUGGUCUGAUUAACUUAAAUAUAUGAAGACUGGAGACCUACAAUGUAGUAUAUAUUCUGGUACGAAGUGGUAGUGUCCUAAAUUCUAGUGUUGGCACCAGGAAUGGAAAGCACGGAAAAGUUUUCAGAGAUUGUGAAGAACAAGAUUCCCUAGCUUUUGUCACUGCCUUUUCGGGGAUACGGAGCUGUUUAUAAUGACAGACACCUACUUCAUUCAAUUAGAUCAUCAUCUUUGAGUGCCUGUGGAUGUGAGCUGCAAUCUUUCCCUUGGGUGUCCAGUCUGCCAGCCCACCCUCCAGAUUUUGGACUUACCAACCUCCACAAUCAUAGCCACUUACAAGACAGAUGGAGGACAAAGCCACUUAGAAGAUACUCGGAGGACAACCCUACCAAGUGAGAGAGCAGAGCCAAGCCCCAGGAAACAGACUGGACCCAUAGAGGAAACCCUGCAGAAAAAAAUGUAAAGAUGACAGAAAAGGUGUAGCUUAAUUGGAUGGACAAGUCAAAAAUCAUAUGACUAAGCAGAAAACCUGGGAAAUGUACCAUAUUACCAGACAAAAGCCUGUGGUAUAUUUUCUGUAGUCUGGACACUGUUCCAGGAACCACAGGAGAGAUGCAUCCUCGCAGAAGCCUUGGCAUUUGUCAAAAAAUGAGCAGUGUGGGGCAACAGAGCCAGGCACCCGCAGGAGCCCAGGAAGUACUGGAUGGCAGCUGUUGGAUGGCCCCAAUGACUUUGGAAGCUCGGAUAUCUGUGCUGACUGCAUGCACUGUCUCCCGUCUGGGGAUGAAGUGAGAGGACUCUUCAAUGAAAAAGCACAGCUGGCUCUGAGGUGACAUUUUCUAAAGCAGCCUUGGCAUACAACUCCAUUUACCUGCCUUGGUUUACAGAAGGAAAUGAGGCUGCUUCUACCCCACUUCCCUCAACGCAUUGUAGGUCUUGAGUCUUAUGUGAAUUGAUGUCUGGACUGACACAUUUUUGGGUAGAGCAUCCCCAACACACCAGCAGAUGGCUGGCACACCUGUUUUCCUGAGUCUUGGUUCAAAACAAAAUUCAGCAUUUCACUUGUUCAGGAUUUCUGUGUCACAUUUUGCACCUUUCCUAGAGACUGUGCAGAAAGAUAAACUGUUUGUGAACACAAAUUAUUGUCAUUUUAAAAUAAUAACUUAUAUUAGUGUUUUUCACAUUUUUCACAUGACAGCUGUCUUAACUUGGGUCCUUAGAAACAAAACCUGAGGUAGGGGUUUUGUGCAAGGGAUGUAUGGCAGAGGGACUUGAUCUCAGAAGGAACCUGCAUGGGAACAAAGAGAGCAAGAUGGACAGGGGAAAAGUCAGGCAUGGAUAUAGGCUCCAGUGGACUCUAGAUUGGCUUCAUCUGGCUUGAAAGUUCUGAAACACAAAGUGUACCAUGUAGCUGCUCCCCUUGAGGUCAGGAGCUCAUCUUUUCUACUCACAUGUUGGUCAAUCAUCAUCAUUUCCCGGAGGGAGGGGAAAACCUCCAAGCAUUUCCAGGGGGCUCCCCAGAGGGCAGUUCUCCUGCAAAGGCCAUCACUGCAAACUAUUAGCAGCCAACAGUCAAAGCAACUGGAAGACAGGUGCACCAAUGCUCAAUGGGGUCUGAGUGGGAACGCACAGCAUCACCACAACCCAUUAUAUGUAGGUAAUUACUUUGCAUUGUAACUUAUACACAUAGAUACACAAAUAGAGCUAUAUACAAAAAAAAAAAAGAAGUUUCCCAAAUAAUGCUUAUUUUUCUACCUGUGGGUCGAUGUGAAUAAUUUAAAUGAUUUUUAUUUUAUUCUAGUCUAUUUUAAUUCAUAAAAAAAAUCAGUAGUCAUGGCUCACUAUUAGGUGGCAACCUGCAGUUUGUAAAAGCUUGAUUUGUAGCUAAAUACUCUUUAAAAGCCAAUCAUUUUUAAGUGAUUUAAUUAGAUUUAUACGAUACUU